ACAGAAAUGUGUUAAACAUAUUUGGACAACUAAUUCACAGUAUGUAUCAGAGUUCCUGUGUAAUUUGAUUACUGGUCCAUCCUAUCUAUCCAUUCUAAGUUUGCAAUUGUCUUGGUAAUAUUCUGCUCAAUUGGGGACCGUUAGCUUCGUCGUUUAAAGCUCGUGCAGAGAAGAGGGAAACGAAGCGUGCCCACUAUGCGACAGGGCAGAGGAAAGUCCCUGAGAGUGACACAACUGAAAGAAAAACAUCUGAAAUGGCGAUUGUUUAGCUUAAAAUGGAAUUUACCGGCCAAGUUUAUCGGACUUGACAGACCACAGCUACUAAUAAUGGAAAUAAGCAGACAAUCACCCCUCUGUGUGGUGCUCACAGCAGCCAUCGGAGGCUAUGCUAUCACAGCCACGACAGCACAAGCAGUAGAGGCAGGAGACUUGUUUAUAAAAAGCACCACCUUCACAGAGGUUUCUCGUAUGGCAAAGGACACAGGUGCAGUUGGUGUGGGCUUACUGAUGAGCUGCCUGACACUGGGCAUUGCAAUGUGGUCGGCGGCAGUAGGCAUCAAGCUCGCCACAGGAGUGAGUGGAAUUUUCAGGAUGCUGGGAUUGGAGACUUUGACGAUGACCUCCGUGGGGCCGCUGAUUGUCCUGGGAGCCUCGGGAACCGGAGCCUUGCUUGGGACAGCUGCUGGAUCUCUCCUGGUGUGGGGAAAACAGGGAGUCUUGAUGGGACUCAGUGUUGUUCUACUAGUCAGCUGCAUUAUAAUGAGGCCCUUCACACCAGUUGCAUUGACAAAUGUCCUUGAGGGACGUGGCCUUUUGAUGAAACAACUCAUAGUGUUUUUGAUCAUGCAGUUCAUAGUCAUGUUUUUGGGGAUGAUUGUGAGCUUCGUUCAUCCAGGCGCAUACAUUUUAAUGCUAAUAAUGACAUGGGCUAGCGUGGGUUUAGAACCGACCCGCCAAUGUACAUUAGCACAAAGGCUUUUGAGAAAUCUCCCAGGUCAGAUGCCAGAUUCAGGAGAUUUCCUUGUGUACAGUUUUUGUAUGGUGGUCUUGUUCACAGGAUUUGCAACUGGAACUACUGCUUUUUGUCUGUCCUACAGAGAGAAGCCGCAGCAGGCCACCAGAAUAAUAUUGCUAUCAUCUGCGCAUAUCGCCCCACUGUGUGCUACCAUCAUGGGAGCCGUGCUUGGCAUCUACUCCAUGCUGUGGUUAAAGACUACAGAUGCUGAAAAAGUGGCUCUUGGAGCAGUGAGCACAACCAUAUUUGCUCUGAAGGGUGUUUCAGCAGCGUUUGACAGUCUGGGCCCCUCUGGCGCUGCAGGGAUGCUCAUGGGAGUGGGUGGCAUGGCAGGACUAUCUGUGGAAGUGGCUGUAAUAGCUGCAAAGAUGAGGUACCGUGGGCCAGGAGGUGCAGGUGCUUUCUUUGGGACACUUGGGGGUGGUAUUUUGGGUACAAUAUCUUUAUCACCAGCAAGAAAAAUACUAUUAUUAUCAACAACAGCUGUUGUGGCUGCACUGGCAAAUCUUGAGAGAAUCGAACAAAUGGGACAUGGAGUCACAGGAGCUGAAGAAACCAAACAACUGGGGAGUCCUGUUGAGGGCGCAGUAUUUUUUGGCAUCGUUGCAAUGGCAACCGGAGCUGUAGGACUGGCAGUAAUCGUCAUUGGGGUCACUGGUAAUACUGGGUUUGUCACAGUUAUUGUUGUAUGCUUAGUAGCAAUAAGAUAUUUAUUCAAACUUACGAAAUAAUGGCAUAUUAUAGCACAGCAUUAAUUCCUGUCAUGUGCUCUCAUUUUCAUCAUGAUAGUUCAUUUUCAAUCUGAAUGGAUGGCUGUGUAAAGAAAGUAAAAUAUAUUUUACUUUAAGGUGUAAAUAUAUUUUAAUUUGAUGUAGUGUUUGAAAAUGUUUUGAUUGGAAAUCAGUGAUAUACUGAGAGGCUAGUGCGUGAGAACAUUGCAUUAGAUUUACUACUACUUCACCACCAAAUACAAAUCAACUUUCAUUGUGCCGAUGAUAUCGUAGGCCUAUGCUGCCACCUAGUGUAUUAAAAAGUUUUCAUCUGAGAACACGAUAAAUCAACGUUCAGUCUCAUAUCUUUUAUUUUAUCAUUAUAUCUUGUAUGUUCAUUUGUUGAGAACAUACAUUUCAGUGAGCUUACAGAGAAACAGCUCACACCAAAAUAGUUCAGAAAAUAAUGGGGAACCUUACAAACACAUACAAAUAUUUCAUUAUGUUAUUUGAGAGUUCAGACUAUUCACUGACGUCACUUACAAGAGCCGAUUUGUUACCCAACAUGGCGGCCUCGCUGGUCAGAUUUGUCCGUGGAGGGCUCAACAAGACUUUAAAUCUGAGUCGAAACGCAGCAUUUAUCCAAACACGGUGGGAAACUACGACAACUGAAACCAAGCCAACUGUCAGACCCAAGGAUGAGGUCACCCACAACCGGUUGUCUGCUUUCGGAGAGUACGUGGCAGAGAUACUCCCCAAAUAU